AGAUGUGUAUAAGAGACAGGUAUGGGAGUGAGAAUGUUGGCAUGAGUAGCGAGAUGUGGGUGAGAAUCCCACAGGCCGUAAACCCAAGGUUUCCAGGGGAAGGUUCGUCCGCCCUGGGUUAGUCGGGACCUAAGCUGAGGCCGAAAGGCGUAGGUGAUGGACAACAGGUUGAUAUUCCUGUACUACCGAUAACCGUUUGAGAGAAGGGAUGACACAGUAGGAUAAGCUAAGCACACUGUUGGUUAUGUGUGCCCAAGCAUUGAGGCAGUCAAAGUAGGCAAAUCCGCUUUGAUAAUGCUGGGAUGUGAUGGGGAGCGAAAUUUAGUAGCGAAGUAGCUGAUUUCACACUGUCAAGAAAAGUCUCUAUCGAGGUUAAAGGUACCCGUACCGCAAACCGACACAGGUGGGUGAGGAGAGUAUCCUAAGGCCAGCGAGAGAACUGUUGUUAAGGAACUCGGCAAAAUGACCCCGUAACUUAGGGAUAAGGGGUGCCACCAUCAGGUGGCCGCAGAGAAUAGGCCCAAGCGACUGUUUACCAAAAACAUAGGUUUCUGCUAAGUCGCAAGACGAUGUAUAGGAGCUGACGCCUGCCCGGUGCUGGAAGGUUAAGGGGAUCUGUUAGAGCAAUCGAAGCAGUGAACUUAAGCCCCAGUAAACGGCGGCCGUAACUAUAACGGUCCUAAGGUAGCGAAAUUCCUUGUCGGGUAAGUUCCGACCCGCACGAAAGGCGUAACGAUUUGGGCACUGUCUCAACAACAGACUCGGUGAAAUUGUAAUUCCGGUGAAGAUGCCGGAUACCUGCGACAGGACGGAAAGACCCCAUGGAGCUUUACUGUAGCUUGACAUUGGGUCUUGGUACUACAUGUACAGGAUAGGUGGGAGGCUUUGAAACCAGGACGCCAGUUUUGGCGGAGCCAUCCUUGGGAUACCACCCUUGUAGUACUGGGACUCUAACCAUAGGCCAUGAAUCUGGUCUUGGGACACUGUCAGGUGGGCAGUUUGACUGGGGCGGUCGCCUCCCAAAAGGUAACGGAGGCGCUCAAAGGUUCUCUCAGUACGGUCGGAAAUCGUACGUAGAGUGUAAAGGCAAAAGAGAGCUUGAUUGCAAGACAUACAGGUCGAGCAAGGAUGAAAAUCGGACUUAGUGAUCCGGUGGUUCUGCGUGGAAGGGCCAUCGCUCAACGGAUAAAAGCUACCCUGGGGAUAACAGGCUUAUCUCCCCCAAGAGUCCACAUCGACGGGGAGGUUUGGCACCUCGAUGUCGGCUCAUCACAUCCUGGGGCUGUAGU
rnacentral:rRNA from 1 species